GAUGAAUAACGCAGCGAAAUGCGAUAAGUAGUGUGAAUUGCAGAAUUCAGUGAAUCAUCGAAUCUUUGAACGCACAUUGCGCCCUUUGGUAUUCCUUAGGGCAUGCCUGUUCGAGCGUCAUUUACAAAUUCAAGCUCAGCUUGGUGAUGGGUGUCUGUCCCGCCUUUGCGUGUGGACUCGCCUCAAAUGCAGUUGGCAGCUUGUUCCUCGGCUCUAAACGCAGCAGAUUUGCGUCGAGCGUCGUGCGGACGGGCUCUCCAGUAAGCAAACCCCCACAAAUUGACCUCGGAUCAGGUAGGGAUACCCGCUGAACUUAAGCAUAUCAAUAAGCGGAGGA
rnacentral:misc_RNA from 1 species